UCCCUGGUGGCUCAGUGGUAAAGAAUUUGCCUGCAAUGCAGGAGACCUGGGUUCAAUUUCUGGCUCAGGAA
rnacentral:tRNA from 1 species